AGACCAUGGCUAUUGCACAGAGGUUGCGCAGGCAUCCCACACUUGGCUCCUCCAUCUCCACAUAAUUCGUCCUGACAGAUCUUAGACCGUGGAGUCAGCUUGGGAUCUCUGUGUUUCUCUGUUAAGUUUGUGGUUCAGGCACAGGUAACUGAAAACAGAUGUUUUCAGAGCAAGAACUCCGCUCGUUUUCUUGUUGAGCUUUUGGUAAUUUGGAAAGGGAAGGGGAGCUGCCUUUUGCAAACCCUUUGUGCUUUUUGUUAUGAGCACAGUUUCCCGAUCUCGGCAAUGCUUGCCCUCGCUCUAUCCAGAUGCUUUCUUUGUUGUUUUGGUAGGUGUUAUGACUUGGGUGUUAUGACUCCACCCCUUUUUCUUUAUGCUAAUUUCAUUUUCCUGUUGCCUAUUUCCUGUCUGUAGACUGCACAUGGCUACUUAAGGUGAUUUUCUGACCUUGCAAUCAGCUCUUAGGAUUCUUCUGUUAAACACUCAUUAGGUGCAUGUGACAGCACUAGGGACAGAGUGAAUUGGCAGUCCUGUCACACGCCUGGGCUUAAAGAGAGAGCAAUGAUUGGACAGAAAGCGAUAUGGUGGUUUAAAGGCAGAAGUGUCUCAUAAACCAUAAAUACUAGGGAGGACCAAAUUCUUAUAGCAGUGGAGGCUCAAAAAUGAUGGCAACAAAGCUUUACUGAGGAUCUGCUGUGAGGCGAACAGUCUCUUCCACUCUGUGACUUCUUUCCUGAUUCAGCCCUGGAGGAUGCAGGCUUGGUGAAUCCUGAGGAAUUAGGAACCUUGAGCCUUGGGACUUUGAGCUUUUCAGUGGCCCAAAAAUAUGUCUAAAAUCAGAAAGAAAGUUUUUAUUGGCUUCUUAGAAUACUAAAA